GCCCGGGUGGUGUAGCCCGGUUAGCAUAGGGGCCUGUCGAGCCCCAGACCCGGGUUCAAAUCCCGGCCCGGGCGCCA
rnacentral:tRNA from 1 species